rnacentral:rRNA from 1 species
AUGGCGCGGCUGCCGCUGUCGCCAUCUCCACCGGCUUUCACCCCCGUCAAGGAAGAGCCCGACGUCGGCACCACCGCUGCCGCUCGCACUUCGCGCCCACCGCCCCGCAAGAAGCGCCGCCGGGACCACCUUCCGGUAACCCCAAGCCAGCCGCUGCUCACGCCCCAAACUAUUCUGUCCGGGAUUUCGAAAACCGAUUCCUUCGAUGUCAAGCGGUGCGGGGAGCUGGACCUAACGCCGAUGACCGUGCCCACCUCCAUAAAGAGCGAGCCUGACGCCGACGACGGGGCUGGCAAGAAUGCAGGAGGGGAAACAUUGCGCGCACAACCGCACAAGAAGCGCAGCCGGCACUGCCUGCCGGCAACCCCAAUCCAGCAGCCCCUUUUCACUCCCCAAGCUACCCCGCCGGGCAUUUCAAGGGCCGAUUCCUCUGUGGAUAAGUGGAGCGAGCAGCCCAGCGCAACGCCGACUACCACUGUCAAGCGUGAGCUCGAUGCAGACGCUGGCAAGGACACGGGAGGGAAGGUGGUCCGGAGACGACGCCCCUACCCUCAGAGGCCCAUUACAGAGCAAGCCCCCACCAUGUGGGCUAAUCGUGGACGCCUUGGCCGUCUCCUCCACAGUCAUGUUCGCACGCACCAAUGGCGAGAUGCUGCAGGGGUCUUCUCCGUGCUCCUACCUGGCAUCCAGCGCCCUGACUCCUUCGAGGAGGUCCGCAGCAUUUUAGUGGAUGCGAUGGAUAUUCAUAGACGCCUUGCUCAGGAUAGUGGCAACCAUGGGAGGAGAACCUACUACCACCGGACGCAGAAGGUUUUUGAUGUUUGGAUACAACGGCUAAUGUGGUUGCCUACUUCUGCAAAAAAACACAUGGUUAAACUCGAACUGGCUCUAUUUUAUCUUUCACAAGGCAAGAUCGACGAUGCACACAAUGCAACAAGAGUCCUCAUCGCGAAGGACGGACUACAGAAGGAACCAACUCUAAAUCUGAUACAUGGCUUGAUAUCAUAUGAUAAAUGGUACUCUGGCUUGCCCAAAGAUAUGCAACUUGAGAGAUUUGAUGUGUACAAUGAAUCAUGCAAAAUUUCUAUGUCAUCCAAUACCUGUGGAGAAAAUGGUCUUCAGGAUAGUUCAGAUGACAAUUGCAGCAUUGAUGUUGAUGAUGCCAGUUUUCCUGCUUGCUCUUCAGAAAGUUCUAUCAAUAAUGGGAAUAUAGACAAAAAAUGCAAGAUUCCCAAGAAAUCUCGUUCUGUUUAUCCUGUUAAGGAAAACGAUUCAGUAGAUUCACAAGUGAAAGAGGAAGUGGUUUCUGCAGAUUUUCGAAGCGUAUUUUUUAAUACCUCUGAUGCCCCUACCUGUGGGUUGGAACAAAGCUUGUUGCCACUACGUCUAAAGCAUGCUGCUGGGACUUCAAGUGAUUGCUUUGAUUCGUACUGGAAGUACAAGUCAACACCUAAUGCCUUCUACGCAGAUGCAGAAAGAUGUCUAAAAGUGGCUCUUCAUUCGUCACCACCAGUAAUGGCAGCCUUAUUGCCAUUAAUACAGAUUCUCCUGCUUGGUGAUAAACUGAAAGAUGCACUUUGUGAACUUGAGAAGACCUGCCGCAGUUCUACUACAGCGCUUCCUUUCAGAUUGCGAGGCAGACUGCUAGAGUAUUUUGACCAAAAUCAAGUAUCAACUAUAUCUUCUUGCUAUGAGGAAGCUUUGCAGAGAGAUCCUACAUGUAGCUACUCGGUUGAGAGGCUAACUGAAAUGCACAGAAAAGGAUAUUAUAAUACCACCCGACUACUUGAGAGAAUUGUUUUGCAUCUAGACUGUGUGAACGGGAAGCCUUCCAUCUGGGAGGAGCUUGUAUCAUGCUUGCUUCGGCUUUUUUCUGAUCGUACUACUGACUACGAGGAUUGUAUUUCAUGUAAUGUUGAAGGAGAUGCAUCGAUUGAUGCUUUUAGUAGUCUUUCUUCAGUCUUCUUUGAGCAACAUACGAGGGAAUCAUGGAAGCACCGAUGCAAAUGGUGGAUGAACCGUCAUUUCAGCCAAAACAUCUAUAUGUCAGAAACUGCAAAAGGUGAUUGCAAGCUCCUCGCUUCCAAGGCAUCUUGUGCUUCUCACAUGCUUGGGCCUGGAUUCCCAUAUGUCAAAGCAGCCAAGAGCUAUCUUUCCAAGCAAGAGGCUAAGCAUGAAUCCGGAUUCUUGUCCAGUAACAUGGAAAAUUCUGUCAAGUUAUUACAAAGUUUGGAGAAACUAAUGUGA